rnacentral:rRNA from 1 species
UUCUUGAAACUCACAAAUUUUGGCGGUGCUUUAGAUCCGCUUCNGAGGAACCUGCCCCGUAAUCGAUAACCCACGUUAUACUUAACUUAAUUUGGUUAACAGCUUAUAUACCGUUGUCAUGAGGUCCCACUAGUAAUUGGAGGCCGGGGUAUUGUAUGAAAUAGUAUGUCAGAUCAAGGUGUAGCUUAUAAUUAAGGGGAGGUGGGUUACAAUAGGUUUAAUUUAUGGAAUCUGGCCUGUAAUUGGUUGGGUGAAAGAGGAUUUGAAGGUAAUCAGCUGUAGAAAGGGCAGAUGAAGGUGGCUCUAAAGCAUGCACACAUCGCCCGUCGCUCUUAACAACC